UUCCUUGAAGGAGAACUUGAAAACCAUUGAGAGGGUGAAUGAACAUUUGAAUGACGUUCAGAUUGCUCGAGCUAAGCUGCAGGCAGUGAGGGAGCAGAACGCCAAGAGUCCACACUUGUUAACAAAAUACUUUGUUUUUGGGGAAAAAAAAGUUACACUUUUUAAGCAUAUCACCCUGAGUUUUCAUUGAAAUCUUAGUACAUACUUUAUUUGUGUCCUGUGUGAAGAUACUGGAAAAAGGAACAUCUCCAGAGAACUUGAAAGGUACUGUUUCAAUGAACACUUCAGGAAUUUGAGCCAGGUGUUUCGAAGACCAGAUCUGAGGGUUCGAUGCAGCGAGCUAUGACAACUGGAGACUGCAGCCUGGAAGGAACAAGUCCUCUGUCGCAGGCAAUUUGACACAUUUUACACACAGUAGAACUUCUUUCCAAAUUGGAGUCAGUCCUCUCAAUCCCUGCGGUAAUUUAUCAGCUAAGUUCAUACGCUCUUCUAAGUCCUUUGUUAUUUCAACCUUCUUCACAGCAUC